rnacentral:rRNA from 1 species
UUCGCCCUUAGAGUUUGAUCCUGGCUCAGGAUGAACGCUGGCGGCGUGCUUAACACAUGCAAGUCGAACGGGAAUUACUUUAUUGAAACUUCGGUCGAUUUAAUUUAAUUCUAGUGGCGGACGGGUGAGUAACGCGUGGGUAACCUGCCUUAUACAGGGGGAUAACAGUCAGAAAUGGCUGCUAAUACCGCAUAAGCGCACAGAGCUGCAUGGCUCAGUGUGAAAAACUCCGGUGGUAUAAGAUGGACCCGCGUUGGAUUAGCUAGUUGGUGGAGUAACGGCCCACCAAGGCGACGAUCCAUAGCCGGCCUGAGAGGGUGAUCGGCCACAUUGGGACUGAGACACGGCCCAGACUCCUACGGGAGGCAGCAGUGGGGAAUAUUGCGCAAUGGGGGAAACCCUGACGCAGCAACGCCGCGUGCAGGAAGAAGGUCUUCGGAUUGUAAACUGUUGUCGCAAGGGAAGAAGACAGUGACGGUACCUUGUGAGAAAGUCACGGCUAACUACGUGCCAGCAGCCGCGGUAAUACGUAGGUGACAAGCGUUGUCCGGAUUUACUGGGUGUAAAGGGCGCGUAGGCGGGAUAGCAAGUCAGUCGUGAAAUACCGAGGCUCAACCUCGGGGCUGCGAUUGAAACUGUUAUUCUUGAGUAUCGGAGAGGAAAGCGGAAUUCCUAGUGUAACGGUGAAAUGCGUAGAUAUUCGGAGGAACACCAGUGGCGAAGGCGGCCUACUGGGCUUUAACUGACGCUGAGGCUCGAAAGUGUGGGGAGCAAACAGGAUUAGAUACCCUGGUAGUCCACACUGUAAACGAUGAUUGCUAGGUGUGGGGGGUCUGACCCCCUCCGUGCCGGAGUUAACGCAAUAAGCAAUCCACCUGGGGAGUACGGCCGCAAGGUUGAAACUCAAAGGAAUUGACGGGGGCCCGCACAAGCAGUGGAUUAUGUGGUUUAAUUCGAAGCAACGCGAAGAACCUUACCAGGUCUUGACAUCCGACUAACGAGAUAGAGAUAUGUCAGGUGCCCUACGGGGAAAGUCGAGACAGGUGGUGCAUGGUUGUCGUCAGCUCGUGUCGUGAGAUGUUGGGUUAAGUCCCGCAACGAGCGCAACCCCUGCCAUUAGUUGCUACGCAAGAGCACUCUAAUGGGACCGCUACCGACAAGGUGGAGGAAGGUGGGGACGACGUCAAAUCAUCAUGCCCCUUAUGACCUGGGCUACACACGUAAUACAAUGGCCGUUAACAACGAGGAGCAAACCCGCGAGGGGGAGCAAAACUUGAAAAACGGUCUCAGUCCGGAUUGCAGGCUGCAACUCGCCUGCAUGAAGUUGGAAUUGCUAGUAAUCGCGGAUCGGCAUGCCGCGGUGAAUACGUUCCCGGGCCUUGCACACACCGCCCGUCA